rnacentral:misc_RNA from 1 species
GAUGAAGAACGCAGCGAAAUGCGAUAAGUAGUGUGAAUUGCAGAAUUCAGUGAAUCAUCGAAUCUUUGAACGCACAUUGCGCCCCUUGGUAUUCCAUGGGGCAUGCCUGUUCGAGCGUCAUUUGUACCCUCAAGCUUUGCUUGGUGUUGGGUGUUUGUCCCGCGUUGCGCGUGGACUCGCCUUAAAGCGAUUGGCAGCCGGCAUAUUGGCCUUGGAGCGCAGCACAUUUUGCGCUUCUAGUCAUGAAUGUUGGCGUCCAUUAAGCCUAUACAUCUGCUCUUGACCUCGGAUCAGGUAGGGAUACCCGCUGAACUUAAGCAUAUCAAUAAGCGGAGGA